rnacentral:rRNA from 1 species
AGGUAAUAAUCCUGUAGUCGAAAAUGUUGUCUCUCUUGAGUGGAUCCUGAGUACGACGGAGCACGUGAAAUUCCGUCGGAAUCUGGGAGGACCAUCUCCUAAGGCUAAAUACUCUCUAGUGACCGAUAGUGAACCAGUACCGUGAGGGAAAGGUGAAAAGCACCCCGGAAGGGGAGUGAAAUAGAACCUGAAAUCGUGUGCUUACAAGUAGUCAGAGCCCGUUAAUGGGUGAUGGCGUGCCUUUUGUAGAAUGAACCGGCGAGUUACGAUUUGAUGCAAGGUUAAGCAGUAAAUGUGGAGCCGUAGCGAAAGCGAGUCUGAAUAGGGCGUUUAGUAUUUGGUCGUAGACCCGAAACCAGGUGAUCUACCCUUGGUCAGGUUGAAGUUCAGGUAACACUGAAUGGAGGACCGAACCGACUUACGUUGAAAAGUGAGCGGAUGAACUGAGGGUAGCGGAGAAAUUCCAAUCGAACCUGGAGAUAGCUGGUUCUCUCCGAAAUAGCUUUAGGGCUAGCCUCAAGUGAUGAUUAUUGGAGGUAGAGCACUGUUUGGACGAGGGGCCCCUCUCGGGUUACCGAAUUCAGACAAACUCCGAAUGCCAAUUAAUUUAACUUGGGAGUCAGAACAUGGGUGAUAAGGUCCGUGUUCGAAAGGGAAACAGCCCAGACCACCAGCUAAGGUCCCAAAAUAUAUGUUAAGUGGAAAAGGAUGUGGCGUUGCCCAGACAACUAGGAUGUUGGCUUAGAAGCAGCCAUCAUUUAAAGAGUGCGUAAUAGCUCACUAGUCGAGUGACACUGCGCCGAAAAUGUACCGGGGCUAAACAUAUUACCGAAGCUGUGGAUUGUCCUUUGGACAAUGGUAGGAGAGCGUUCUAAGG